GGUGGUUCUCAGGUGACACACCAAGUAAUAGGGCUCCCUCUUCUCUGGUUCCAGGUGCGCCACCCGAGAACCCG
rfam:Myotis brandtii contig306126, whole genome shotgun sequence.